AACGCACGAGACCUGCGGACCUGCGGAGGGAUCAUUACCGAGUUAUCCAACUCCCAACCCCUGUGAAUCAUACCUUUAAUUGUUGCUUCGGCGGGACUUCGCGCCCGCCGGGGACCCAAACCUUCUGAAUUUUUUAAUAAGUAUCUUCUGAGUGGUUAAAAAAAAUGAAUCAAAACUUUCAACAACGGAUCUCU
rnacentral:misc_RNA from 1 species